UAAUAACAUAUAUUCUAAAAAUCAAAUUCGGCAUAUAAACGAAUACGUUGAAAGGUUGGAGGCCCUAACAAAGUUAGUUGAAAGAAUGACUAACGCAAAAGAUUUAUUUAACAGUUCUCAAAUAGAAAAGAUCAUAUUGGAGAAUUUUUGCAAAAUUCGAUGCAAGCUAUCAAUUCGCAACAAACAAAUCGAAAGACAGAAACAGUAUUUUGAUAGAUUUUUCUCUUAGUGACAAAUAUAAAAAUUGCAACUUUGUAUGC